AGGCAUGAGCCCCUGGGCCCAGCCGACUGUUUAAUGUUCUUAAAUAGCACAAGGGACUUCUAUGAACUUUCCUAGAUGAAAUAUUAACUACUAGGUAAAACACCUGUUUGAUACUGCAAAGGUUUAUUUCUGAAACUUAAACCUCAUGAUUGGCCAACCAAGAACUUUUUCUUCACAGCAUGCUUUAAUAAUGAAAUGCAGAUUAAGAGUCCAACAUUAUAACAUUUCCACAAAAGAAAGAAUCCAUCUGAUUCUCAACUCUGAAUGCACAUUUGAAUUCCCUCGGGGAGCUUUUAAAAAUCUGAUGCCCCAGUGUACCCCCCAGUUAAUUAAAUAAUUCUCUGGGGAUGAGAACUGACAGCAACACUUAAGCUUCCUGGGAGACUGCAGUAUGCAGCCGAGGCCCACUCCUCCAGCGUCACCACCUCGUCUUUAUUUUAUUUAUCUAUAUCUGCCACUGUGUCUCCUCAUGGCCCACAGCCUUAGCAACAGCAAAAGUAGAAUUCAAACCUUGGUAAUCAAGGAUUAAAUUAUUACUGUUCAUGACCUCAAUUGAAAAUGAUUACUGGUGACCACAGCACUCCAUGCUCUUCCUUAUGGAAAAAGGGUUGCCUAGAAGAUUUAGGCAAUACUGGGAGUUCUUAUUUGAAGUCACAGAAAGGAGAAACUUUUCUCAAGCCGUUUUUAUUACACUCAGUGUAUUAAGACAAGUACAAAAUAACCUUGUAAUUAAGAUACUGUAUCAGUCAAAAAAGAAGUCACUAUUGUAUGAAGAGAUUUACAAAUGACUAAAAUAUACAGGCUGUGACAGAAUUAACAGUUUGAAAGAGGGCUGCUUUUUUCUUUUAGAAAUGCUAAAUUUUCUUAACAAGACAAAAAUACAGUGCUCUAAAUAUGCAUUACCAUGAAAACAUUAAAGAAAAGCAGUCUUAACACUUUACUAUUAACAGCCUUUGCCAACACAUGCCUGCCUACUCCCUUUCCUAACUUUAAAGAACAGCUUCCUCUAAGGAAUACUAGUGCAGCACAACCCUUAAAUAAUUUCAUUUAUUUUUAAAGUUACAACCUACAGAGAAAUUAACAUCUUGUCAAUCUAAUAACAGUGGCAACCAUUCUUCACAUGCACUUCUCUUAGAAUAAAUCCCCUUGGCUGGCAGGAUAAGGCUAAUGCUGUAGAACCUUCUCCCCGACAGCCACAAAUCCCCUUCUGUAAGUCCCUCCUACCCUCAUCCCCCCGCAUCCCCACUGGCAUUCACCUUUCCCACCCCAAAAAGUGCAGCUCAUGGUAGCCUUCUAGAAAAUGGUUUUAAUGGGUAUCCCAGCAUACACGCUUUUUUAAAAGCCCCCUCUGAACACCAGAGGUGGUGAAAAUGAAUUGUGUUCUUGGAUUUUUUUUUUUUUUAAGCCUCCACUGGGUCAAAAAUAUGUGCUCCUAAUACUUGAGUUUUUGCUUUGUGUGUGGGUUUUCUUUUUCAUUUAGAUAUCGUGGGAUAAAGUGGAGAGGACAUCUCCAUUUUCCCAUACACAUUGAGGGUGAGAAGAGAAAGAGAAGCAAGUUGUUGCCCCCACUUUGGCCUGGCUUCCCAGCCAUCUUCCCAGCUCUGUUCUUUCAUAGGAACUAGUUAUUGCUUCCACAAUGCCGUUAUACGGAAUGUUCCACAAAGGCUGUGAACCUGGUCACAGUCUACCCGCAACAACUCUGCUCUGAAAAACCAGCCCAAGAGCUCUUACCCAGAAGAACAAUCUUUAGCCCUCAAGGUCACUGAAACUUCAUUAGAGCAGUUCAGAGUAGACGUGUAAGAUUUGGCAUAUAUUAAAUGAUUAUUGGCACAAUGUUCUCCAGUUCCAUGUAUAAAUGUUGAUAUGCACAUGGGCCAGGGCCCAAGAUGAAUCAGCCAAUCUGCACCAUUUUUAUGUCAGCAAUAAUUCCAUCUCUGCCCUUUGAGCACUGUAGGGAGAGCUGCUUCAUCCGGUUCUCCAAGGCCUGGCCCUCAGGGGAGAUGCUGCUUUGGCUCUUACUGCUGCCACCACUGCCACUGCUAUUGCUGAGGCCCCGGUUGUUGUUGGCUUUGUCACUUGUUUUAUUCUCUGCCCCUUCUGCCCUGUCUCCUAUAGAAAUACAAGGAUUAUCAAAAGUGAGUAUUGACAAUUCUGCCCUGUCUCCUAUAGAAAUACAAAGAUUAUCAAAAGUGAGUACUGACAAUUCUAAGUCACUUGAGCUCAAACCAGUCAGCUAACUCAGCCCUGUAGAAUUCCCACUGUUGCCUACCGUGCCUAUCAGAGAGGUUCUUAGUACAUAAUCAUUUACUGCUUUUAUUCCUUGUGAUGUUUUAUAUAUUCCUUAGCUAUAGAAAUGAAAUUUGCCAUAUUCACUUUAUAGCUGAGAAACAAACCUCUCUGCUAUGUGCUUGCCAAGGAGACUGUUCUGAUGUGAGACAUAGGACCUAAGCUCUACUUUAUAGAAGCUGAGUGGAGCCAGGAGCACCCCCAGAACAGCACUUGGAAACAACCUCAGUGAUCAAUACUGACAGCACAACCACAGAGACCUGGUAAUGCAGCAUGGGGGCCCUGAGACCUGGCAGAGGUACGGAACGGCACAACAGUCAGGCUACAGAGGCAUUGUGGCAUCUGGGACGGGGUGAGAAGGCCGCUACUCACCUCGUUCUACUUCACAUUCAGGGGAGGAGGCCCCGCUGCAUUCACUUCGAGGGCCCAACACUGGGAACAUCAUCCCAAACUCUGACAGGGACACAGGGCUGGGCAGAUCCAGGCUGCCAGGCCUCACAACCGCAGGGAACUGGUCAGGCAUCUCAGACGGGCUUGUUGGUCCUGAACUAAAGCUGGACACAGACUGGGUUUCCGAGUCAUCUUCAGACACAAAGUUGCUACAGCUGUCAUCUUCAAAGGCCUCCGAGGCCACUAAGUUGAGAGAGAACACCAGUCACAUGGGUUCUGUCACCUCAAACACCGCAAGUGCUUGCUGCUGGAAGGCAGCUAGACACAGCAUGGGGAUUGCAGAAUCUCUACCUCUGUGAGUGCCUAAUGAAGGAAUGUGACUUCCCAAGCCUGGAUGACCAGCCUCUAAAGCAGCUGGAAGGGAAGCAGCUGGCAGCUGGAUCCCAUGGAUAUUAAGCGCCCUUCCAAUAACCUUAUAACCCUGCCAAGAAAUCAGUGUCACCAGACACCACCUUAAAAUGGAAGAUUAAUUCAGCCACAAAUUAGGACCUUUACUCCACCUCAGUCCCCCAAAUAGAUCCUCAUGUGCACAGGAAGAGGUUCUAGUCCUCUGUAACAUAUCCCAAACAAAGCCAGCUGGACUCAGGCUUCUUUCUUAGGGCAAUAGAAGCAAGAGCUGCUAGAAGAAACAGGCCAGCAUGGAGUAUCUGUUGGGACCUUUGUUAUCUUCCAGAAUCCUGACUUUGAGGAACACUUAGUACCAUCUUAAUGAACACAGAGUGUUCCAUAAAACAUGGGAACCCACCAGAAACAGCCCUCAGGCCUGCCCAACUCUGAGACCUUUCACUGAUGGCCAGAGAAAGUGAGGACCUUGGGAAACAAAUCACACAGUCUGAUAUCUCCCCACGUACCCAGUGGAGCCCCUGACUUACCAGAAAUGGCAUCAGGCUCAGGUUUGCUCCCUGGCAGAUCCUCCACAGAUGUGCUGCUGCCCUCAGCACCAACACCGCAUCCCCGAGGCCCCAUGGCACUGGAGCGCCGCCGCUCGUGGAUCUCAUCUGAGAUCAUCUCCAGGUUCUUCAGGGCCAUCUUAUAUUCGCCUUUUGCCAGGGUCAGUUUGGCCUGCAGGUCGUCCACAGUCUUUUUCAGUUGCUGGUCAAGAGAACAGGAGACUAAGUGAAGACUACCCUGCUAGCCUUAAGAUGCUUUCUGAAUGACAGGUUCAAGUACAUUUUCUGCCCAUCAUUCUACUUCAAGGAAUUUUCCAAGACAUGACUGAAGACCUGAUUACCAUUAUAACUGCUAUUCAUUCACCAGACAAAAUCAGCCACCACCAUCCCCAGAUCCCAUCCAGGUGACAACCUCUAAUAUCCAAAAACUCUCACUGGUGGAAUAAACCCCAUCAGGGAAGCAAAAAUGGGCAUCAGACACACCAAAGUCCCACAGUCUAGACAUCUGGUUCCCAGUACAGUGGUUCUCAAACUUGAGCUUGCAUCAAAAUCCCCUUGGGUGUUAAGACUCAGCUCACUAGACUCCAACCUCAGCGUUUCUAAUUCAGUCAGUCUAGAGUGGGACCUGGUCUAUCAGGUCUCCAGGUGAUGCUGAUGCUGCUGGUCCUAAGAGCACGCUGUGAGAACCACUGGCCUAGUACAACAGAGAAAGUGACUGAACGGCAGUUACAGAGGUUCAGAGACCACUGAAGACCCAACCGAGACAAUUUUGAGGUCUGAAAACUCAGUAAAGCCUGUCUCUCCACUUUCCCCUAUAGCAAGUGGCCCAUGUGAUAUUCUGCUAACCCAGAAAAGUGAAGCUUUGAGUGCAGAAAAAUCUCAUCAGUGACGAAGCCCAAAGCUACACAUACCUCGAGCUGCACGUAGUACUUUGCCUUGAGUUCAAAAUAAGGCCUGCAGAAGACAGGAAGGAAAGCCAUCAGAGUAAUAUAAUAUAGUGACCACAAUCAACUCCACAAGAUGAACAAGAGGCAUCAGCUACCACUGGCCAGGUCGUCCUUCCAAUAUUUAGUAAACUCUUAACAAGGCCAUGACAUGUGAGUGAUGCUCCUAGCUCUGGAGACUGACAGACACCAGAUGGAAUGACUGGGCUCACCCAGGGCUAUAUUAACAGGAGGCCCAUCUCAAGACACGGGGAACCCACACACACAUAUCUUGGGGACUCUGCAAUCUAGCUCAUGUUCCUCCUUUGUGGGAAGGCUGUUCAGAGCCUCACAGGUUAUACCCAGCAGUAAGGGUGGUCUGGAUCUGCUCUUCUAAUGAAGUUGGCUCCCCAGGGAUGAAGAGCAGAUGAGGCUGGAGAAGGGGCUGCUUAAACCUCUUCCUCUACUGAAGUCAACUGGGGAAGAGAGAGAAGCACCACUCCUCCCUCACAGCACAGCAAGGCCACCACUAGGAGGGGGUCUCAGGUUGGUCCUCCCGAACCUUGUCCAAAGACUGGAGUUAUUAGUUGGCCGACUCAGCCACAUAAUGGGCACAAGAAAUGCCGGCAUCCUAGCAGUUCCCUUGGUUCUGGGUCAGCCGAAAGAGCUUGGCUCUUUUUUAGGAACUUUGGUGCCUGAACAUUAAGAGUAGAUCACUGCUUUAUUCUUGAGCUGUUCACCCUCCAUGAAGCUCUCAAGUCCUGCAUCCUGAGGAUCCAGAUGGAUGACAAGGACACAGGACUGCCAUUGAGAAAUGAAGAUGAACUGUGUCCCAGAUGCAGUGGAUGACUGACUGCCCUGUAAUAGUCCAUUUUGUAUCUGUUGGUAAUUCAUUGAGGCAUUCUUGGUUUUCUAUGAGUUUGUAUUUUUUGAAUUCAAGAAUUGUAACAUCGCUGUUAGAUCCCUCCUUAUUUAAUGAGAAAUAAAAUAUUUGACACGAGAACA
rnacentral:antisense_RNA from 1 species